rnacentral:rRNA from 1 species
UACGUAGGGUGCGAGCGUUGUCCGGAAUUACUGGGCGUAAAGAGCUCGUAGGUGGUUUGUCGCGUUGUUCGUGAAAACUCACAGCUCAACUGUGGGCGUGCGGGCGAUACGGGCAGACUAGAGUACUGCAGGGGAGACUGGAAUUCCUGGUGUAGCGGUGGAAUGCGCAGAUAUCAGGAGGAACACCGGUGGCGAAGGCGGCUCUCUGGAACGCAACUGACGCUGAGACGCGAAAGCGUGGGGAGCAAACAGG